CCCUUUCCUGCGGAAUAGCUCCGGGAAACUGGAAUUAAUACCGCAUACGCCCUACGGGGGAAAGAUUUAUCGGGGAAGGAUUGGCCCGCGUUGGAUUAGCUAGUUGGUGGGGUAAAGGCCUACCAAGGCGACGAUCCAUAGCUGGUCUGAGAGGAUGAUCAGCCACAUUGGGACUGAGACACGGCCCAAACUCCUACGGGAGGCAGCAGUGGGGAAUAUUGGACAAUGGGCGCAAGCCUGAUCCAGCCAUGCCGCGUGAGUGAUGAAGGCCUUAGGGUUGUAAAGCUCUUUCACCGGAGAAGAUAAUGACGGUAUCCGGAGAAGAAGCCCCGGCUAACUUCGUGCCAGCAGCCGCGGUAAUACGAAGGGGGCUAGCGUUGUUCGGAAUUACUGGGCGUAAAGCGCACGUAGGCGGAUAUUUAAGUCAGGGGUGAAAUCCCAGAGCUCAACUCUGGAACUGCCUUUGAUACUGGGUAUCUUGAGUAUG
rnacentral:rRNA from 1 species